UGUGUGGAGCAUUGGUUGGGUUCCUCACUGUGGCUGCAUGGACAGAACCCAGUUUUAUCUCUCCAGUAAGUUCCUGUCUCCCAAAGUGCCGCUAUCCUCUGUCUUUCCUCCUCAGUGAGCCGAGUGCUAUGUCCAUGUCCAUUAGCAUCGUUAGGACCAGAUUUGGACUGCAAUAAAAAAGGGCUGUUUUCUGGUUUGAUCGGAUGUAAAUCCACAGCCUCUGUUCUAGCAGUACGGUGUAUGCUGGUACUGCUACGCAGUUCAAGCAUUGCUGUAGGAAACUUGCAGGGUAAAUAAUAUCAAAGACUAGUCUCAUUUUCCCCCAAGAACCCAGUUAUGGUGAAUACCAAGAUUAAAGGUAUAACUGGCUCCAUAUUUUUAAUUAUUUCCCCCAUCUGGACAUAUCACCAUGGAUGCUUGUCAGACGAUUGGCAAGCAGUACCUGACCCUCUGCCUUAGCUUGCAGUGGCCAGGAGUGAAGUGUCUUCUAUCAAAGAGUGGUGAUGCUCUGAGCUUGUGUGGCUGAAGGAAAGUAAUUAAUGUUCAUGAUGGAAAUACCUUGUGGUUUUGUGUUUUUCUCUGACCUCUUGGUCAGGUCAGCCCCCGUAUGUUUUAUUUCAGAUGGCCAUCAUUAUUUGAAUUCAUGGUGGCAAGAGGGUUAUGUGGCUUGGAAUUGGUAUUCAACAGUGACAGAGUGAAGCACAUGAGCAGCAGCACCCCUUUCAUUCCCUCUGGAGAAGGCUGCUCUCAAGCAAUGCCAAGAAGCUACCUACUCCAUGUAGCGUGUGGCUUUGCUAAUAUCUCUGUGCCUAGUGCCUGGGCACAAAGCCCCUGCUCCACUGCCAUUCCUCCUCUUGACGGGAAGGGUUAGCUUUCUUCAGACAUCAGCUGGAUCUAAUUUGAGGCUUAGCUUUUUCAUCUCUGGCACUCAUCAAUAGAAAAACUUAAGGCAAUCUGCCUUAAGUUAUCAAAACUCGAAAAUGACUCUUUACCUAAAUUUUUGAGGAAAAAAUGUCUAAGCCUGAAAGAGAGAGACUCGGUGCCAUCAUAUGUUGCAACUGACCACCAGAACAGGAAUGACUUGUAGACAGGAGAUCAGCCUCGGUGUGAAUCUUGCUUCAGGCAGAGUCCCAUCCGUCUAGGAAGAUGUCUAAAGGCUCUAGGUCUUGCUCAUGUUAUGUCUCAAAUCCCCACCACACACUGAACCAGUUCAGUAGAUGAGUGGUAGGGAGCACUUUUCCAGUAUGUGAGCUCCUUAUUAAUCUGUCUGCAGAAGUAACUCAGUACUCCGAGUGUCUACCUAUGCUACCUUGCAGGGCAGCCAAGGGGAAGGUUAGAGAAGACGGGCAGCACAGGUCCCUCCGCUUCCUCCUUCCCUGCCUCAGGCUGCCGGCGCCUGCAGAAGCAAAGCAAGAGACACUUGCGAUGAGCAGCAGUUGGGAGCGGCUGCACUCUGUGGUGAUCGCAGCGACGCUCUGCAGAGCCUUGGGGGGUGCCUGGGAAUGAGCGGCAUUUCAGGGGUGGGCUCUGGACUCCCAGGUGGUGCUUCUCCAAGCACAGUGUCCCUGUACACUGUGCUGGCCCAGGAGCUCAGCUGGGGCACUCCUCAUGCUGAGAUGAGGGCUGACUGGGAUGUAUUGAAGAGGUAACGCCUCCUGGCAAUGCUCGGGCUUUCUAAAAAUCUGCUAUAUUUCUGAGUUUUGGAGGCUGGAAAAACUGAAGCCAUGUUUUAUUUCUUACUGACAUUUUUCGAAAUGCCAAAGUUUUUCACUUUGUCAUCUCUUACUUAGAAAACUUAUUUCUGAGAAACUUUUUAAAACUUUCUCUUAUUCUGUCCACCCAUGACUAUCUAUUGGAUUUUCUCCCAGAAUGGAAACUCUGUAUUCUGAGUAGUUACCAGCACAGUAGGUCUCCUGAAUUUAAAAGUAUCCUUUUACUUUUUUUUUAGAGUAUGUAAAUAAGCAUGAACAGAUGCUCUGACCUUCCCUGUUUAAAACCAGAUUAUGGGGUUUCUGUGCAAGAAUCAGUUAAGUGGGUGCAACCCUGUCUCACCUCUGAGAAGAGCUUUUCUUUUUCCUGCCAGAGCAUCCCUCUUCCAGGCAGAUGGGGCACAGGGUCAUCUAAAAUCCCAGUCUUAUCAGUGCCUUUGACUUAAUUGUGCGGGUGAGUCUGUUUCAGAUUUAUCAUCUUCACCUCAGAGGAGUAAGGUGUGCAGAGCAUAAGGAAAGACCAUCAUCCCGAUGGUCCUAAUGUACAGUUUCUUCUCUACCCCUCUAUCUACCCUGUACCUAAUCAAUCUGCUGAUCUUAUACUUCUCACUUCUGGGCCACUUAAGCAGUACUGCUAUUGUUACUAGCCUGAAAUUAUGAUUUCUUUUGGCAUAUCAUUCUUGAUAUGAAAAUGUCCUCUAAUUAGCUCCUUGGCUGCAAGAACAAACUGGUGAGUUUUAUUUUCUUGGUACAAACUACCAAUUUUCACAUCAGGCUGCUGACGACUAGUCUUCGGAAGGGUGGUGUUCCUACCCUCUCCCUAAAAUGUGCUCAGGCUCCAUUCCCACAGUUACUCUGCAAGGGUAUGUUCAGGCUGCCCAGCUGCUGGCGAAGUGGAACUAGGAAGAGCCCUGAGGGAACUGGUAGUAUCUGAUGGAGCUGGAAGGAAAGCAGAAGGAGAUGCUAAAAGGAUUGAAGACUCCAGACUUGGGAGUCUUGGCUUGUUGCUCGACUCUUGUUUAUAUUAUGUAUUAUAUUAUAAGCAUAUAUAUAGGUAUCCAUACGCAAGUGCUUAUAACUGCAUAACCUUGCAGUGCUUUUGUUUUUGUCCAUAAACGAAGUGGACAUGCUUUUGAAUUCUGAGCAGAAAAAACCCUGUUCCUUGUUCAUCUGUGCAAAGGGCCAGAGUGUUGAGAGAAGCUACUAAGCAGAAGUGAAAGCAGAGACGGGCAAGUGCACACCCAAGAAGAACUGCUGUUUCCAUCCUGUUCUGGGGAGGAAACCGCUGGCACUGGACGUAGCUGAGACGGUGGCGAUGGGAAUCAGCAGCUCUGUUCCUGCCCCUCCCUUACGUGGCUGGGAAUUCACAUUAUGGCCAAAGCAGGUCUGGGGGCACAGUCCUUUUGGUCUCAACUUAUCUCCCAUAUGCUCUACCACUUUUGACCUUUGAUCGGAGGUGCAUAGAGAGGGACUCGCCAGCAUGCUGUCAGCCUAUGCACUGAGCACAGUACAAGCAUCACCCUUAGCUUAUGCAGGCAGAGGAGCAGGGGGUACAGCAGUGAUAUCUGCAGACAAGGGUUCUCCAGUGCUGUUCUCACUGUGAGCAUGCCGUCCUGCAUUCAAGCUGGUUUCUGAGCUCUGGCUAGCACAGGAGCGUCAUCUGUUUAUCUCCUGUAUGCAGAGCAUGGUGUCCACAGUCAUAUCUUGCCCCACAAACAGCCUGGGCACAAAAGUGAGGCCUCCGCUGCUCUGCAGGCAUCUGGUGGGGACAGGGGUUUUCUUGCCUUGGGAUUCUGGUCGUUUGGGUUGUUAUUUGGAAGUGGGUAUUUGCUAGGGAGGCUGCGUCUGAAUGAGGCUGUCCAAAUGGCAGCAGUAAGAUCAUCUGGCUGCAGGCUCUUGCAAUGGCUUUUGGCUUCUGCCACUGUAGUUUCAAAAUAUGUGUGUCUUUCUGGGAGGGAACUUAGUGGCUCAAGCAGGAGUCAAUCCUUUGUGCUUACUUUGGCUUCUUUCUCUGCUGAGCAGUCUCCAGGUUCCUGUAACGUGCCAGCCAGUAUCAGGCUCUAUUUAUCCCCUUUCAGUGCGUAUUUGUGACAAUUUUGCUUGCUACAGCCAUGGUCACUUAAGCUGAAUAGCAUUUUCAGGCUGAAAAGGCCAGUAGCGGGGUGGUUAUCAGAUAGAGGAAAAGCAUCGUAUUUGCUCUGGCCUUUGGUUCCCAGAUAAUAUAACGGCGAAUUGUGUUCCUGGAAGCUGGGAGGUGGCUUGCAAGAUUACACGGCCCCAAAACGCAUGGAGGCAGUUUGUCACGUGUGACAGAGGAGCAGAGGGGGAGGUGGAAGUGGGGAGCGUAGCUGCUCUCGGUGCUCAGCGGAGGUCAGAUGCGGCUGAUGGCUUCUUCCCAUUGGGAAUGCUGAAGCAGCAGCAGCAAUUGUGCCCUGGCUGCUCUCUUAAAAGCGCUUUGGUGGGUUAGGAGCAUAAGUUCAUUUAAAAGUCGCUGCUACUUGCGGAGCAGUAAGAGAUUGUGCCUGUCUCCCAGUAACCAUUUCCUUCUCUUUUCCCCUCAUCAUCCCUCUAAGUGUGUGGCUUUGAAUGUCUCCUCCUUUUAGGUUUGAAUUGCCUCUCGAGGUGGCUGGGUGCUCUGGAGGAGAGAAAUCUAAUUAACACUCGUUCCCUGCUCAGCUGGACAUAGACAUGAAGCAAGACCAGACCUGGGAGUAGGUCGUGUGGUUCCUACUAGAGCACGCAGGGCCAGAGCUCCUGUGUGCUGGCUGUGCAGGAUGUGGUGGGCUGGGGCCAGUUCUUGUGCACGUCUGACCCAGAAAAUGUUGAAGUACCUCAUUAUCUCCAGAGGAAGCUCGUUCCAGGCUUGCUUUGUUUGGCCUAUGAGCACUUCCCCAGGAACACAGCUUCAGCUGCUGGUAGAAGACUGGGACCAAGCUGAAGACAGAAAUCUUGGCAAAUGUUGUAAGGUAAAGAGAAAGAUAAGCAAAAUGCAACAUAAAUUUCAAGAGAUGAGUCAAUAGCCUUUAGGAUCAGGAUUUUCCAGCCUUCGUCCUGGCUGAGGUGGGAGGUACACUGACAGAGAGCCCCCUGGUUCAACACUCUUGAUCUUCUCCAAAACGGGCGUUGGGAAGAAGUGGCUAAGCCCGCCGUGGCCCACUCGUGCCCCGUGCAGCAGCGCUGUGCUGCUCUGCACCAGCAAAGGCAGCUUGGCAGCCUGCCUGGACCUGGAAGCUGCUUCAGGACCUGCUCGGGGAGGCAUCGCUCCAGCACAGGCUGUCCCAAGAAACGGCGGGUCAUGGCCCGGCCGCCUGGGAUUGGGCUGGGAGGAGCGCGGCUGCUCCGGCUGGCACCGUCUUCAGCCCUGUGCUCUGGGUGGUUACUAAAUAGGCAGCCUCUCAUUUCGUACCUCUGGCAGGGGAGACCACCUGCAAAAUAACCCCUUUGUGCCAUCCUGGGGGGUGGCAUGAGAGCGAUGCACGGGGGACGGGCGCCAGCAUCAGCGCUGCCACGUGCCAGCACUCGCGGCGUUGGGAGGAAGAUAGGCUGCAGCCACCCAGUGAGGUUCAGCUCGCACAACUCCAGGUGGCACACGCUGCUGCAAAAGCCCUUCCCUGGUGUUCUCCUUACUCAUAUAAAUAAAAUAUUCUCCUUAUUCAUAUAAAUAAAAUAUAUGUAUGUGUAUCUAUCCAAAUCUUUUUAAAUGGCAUUAUCUCAGUAGAUCUCAGGAUGAAAUUGUUGUUCUGCUACUACAGUGUGCACGUUAUCUAGGCUUGUUCCUUUUUUUUUUUUUUUUUUUUUAAAGAUUCACAUUCUUCCAUCUCUCUUAUUUGUUUCUUGCAAAUCUGUUUCCUAAGGUUUUGUUUCCAACCGUCCCUGUUCUUCCACUUGGCUUAGGUAUGGUUACAGACUCAAAAUCUUAGACAUCAAGAUUUCAUCCUUUGCGUUUUUCCCUUUAGAUUUUCAUUACUUCUGACAGGCUGAUUAAAAACCCUCCCAGUUUCUUUGCCUUCUGCAGUUUCAAAAAUGUGUAUUGAAAAUGUCUUUUUCUGUAGUCUUAACUGAUCCUUUGUAAUAUUUGUUGGUUCUCUUCCUAUCUUCAGUAAAAAGAUUUUUUUUUUUUUUUUUUUUUUAAUCUCUCAAGUAACAUCUCCCAAAACCAUAUGGACUUUUUCUUGUUUCACCCCAGAAGAUGUGUAAAGUGAUUUUUUUACUUUAAAUAUGCUUCGCUCAGGAUUUUCCAGCUUGCUUUUGCACUUGUAGAUUUAAUAUUUCCCCUUGCUGCUUAUGUUUACACCGAACAUUUGUUUUCAUUUUCAACUUAUUGUUGUGUUCAGCGCAGUCUUAUCUUGCUGGGCGGAAGUCACAUAGCUUGUAAUCGAUUACAGAGUUUCCUAUCAUAGUCUAUUAGUUCCUGCCAAUUAGCUUGUCUUCUUGUUGAUAAGAUUAUUGCCUUCGGUGCGUGUAGUGAUCGUGGUUAUCCAGGAAUAUUUGAGCAGCAAUUCUGAUGUACACAAUAGUUUUGAGAAUCUCUAGAAAUGUUUCCUUAUUAAAUCUCCUCUCUCCUUACCCCAGUCUGUUGCACAAGGCAAGGUAUUAUUUGGCUUUGCUGUUGUGUUUUAAUCCCUAUAUCCUUACCCUAACUAUUUAACAACUACACUAUUCAGAGUGAGAUGGUUUCCAUGCAGGGAUAUUCUCUGCUUCUCACCGUCUUGUGUAAUUCCUCCUCUGGAACAUCAUCCCUGGUUUCCAGCAAUCACUGAUUUGAGGACUGGAGCUGACUGUUUUAUUUGGACAAUCCUGUUUAAUCGCUGCUGUUGAGGAGCAGCUGUUUGUGAAUUUGCCUAGUUCCUUUCCAAACGAUAUUCUGUGGCAAUGGCCAUGGGUACCACAUUUCAUUAAUUAUGCACAGUGAGAGGAAAAAGUAUUUCCUUUUGUUCUAAGUCUGAAUAGUUCAUCAGAUACCAUUAGCUGUUGCACUAUAAGAUGUUGUGAAUGAUAUAUUCAUCUUCUCUGUCUUUUCCUUGUUUCCUAGACCUCUGUUGUCAACCUCUUUUUAUCCGAGGCAUCUCUUCCCAAGAAGAUGAGUUGUCGUGUAUUUGAUCACUCCUUGGUUGAGUCUGUUCUUUACCUCUGCCUGUCUCUCUUCCCUUUCCCUGUUUCUCCUAUAAGACGUCCGGUGGUGUGUGGGUAUACCAUAGAUUAAUGUGGUGACACCGCAGUGGUUGCUGCUUCGUUCCUGUUGUUUUCAUAAUACCUUCUCAAACUGCCUGUAUGUAGCUCAGCUUUUGCUGUUGAUUUGCAGGCCUGAUACAAGGACACUGAACCCAAAAGCGUGAUUUUUUUUUUUUUUUUGUUGUUCUCUCUUGCCCCAGAUAUUCAUCAACAGAUGUAAUAAAAAUACUUUAAAACUU